UGGAGAACACAAACAUUAACCACAUAAUGAGACGAGAAAAUUUAUAUUUUGAGUCUCACAAAUUAAAAAAACACAUUACUACAAAAGUUUUUUUUUUUUUCAUUUCUACAUUGAGCUAAACUUUGAGGAAAACAAAACUACAACAACGCAGGCGCCACUACUCGUAUAACUUUGCAAGAUUAAGCCAUACCCCCGCUGGUUGCUGUCCUUAUUAUCUGGAACAAAGAUGAGCCAAUGACAACAAAGACGAAGAAUCCAAGCAAGAUAGGGCCAACUGGAUACUGGCUUCCCUUCUUUGCAGUAGUUUCAGGAACAGCUCCUCGCUUGGUAAUAUUUUUCUCAAACCUCUCCACCUUCCUAUCAGCAAGACGCCUUGAUGUAGUCAUUUUAAAAGGAAAAUGUGGUGGCCGCCGAUAUAUGAGAACAGAAAAAUUGCAGAGAGAAUUAUAUUUCAGCUAAAAGUUGUUCCUCCUUCCCUUUGCCCCAAUUUUA
rnacentral:misc_RNA from 1 species